GACGAACGCUGGCGACGCGCUUAACACAUGCAAGUCGAACGGAAAGGCCUGCUUUCCCUUGUGGAUUGCGGGUACUCGAGUGGCGAACGGGUGAGUAACACGUGAGUGAUCUGCCCCCAACUUGGGUAUAAGCCUGGGAAACUGGGUCUAAUUCCCGAUAGGACUGCAGGGUGGUGCCUGUGGUGGAAAACGAUUUUCUAGUGGUUGGGGAUGAGCUCGCGGCCUAUCAGCUUGUUGGUGGGGUAAUGGCCUACCAAGGCGGCGACGGGUAGCCGGCCUGGGAGGGUGGACGGUCACAUUGGGACUGGGAUACGGCCCAGACUCCUACGGGAGGCAGCAGUGGGGAAUAUUGCAGAAUGGGCGGAAGCCUGAUGCAGCGACGCAGCGUGGGGGAUGACGGCCUUCGGGUUGUAAACUCCUUUCGACCGCGAGGAAGCCACCUGGUUGGAAGGGUGGUGACGGUAGUGGUAGAAGAAGCACCGGCUAACUACGUG
rnacentral:rRNA from 1 species